UUUUUGGCUGAUCGAAGACCAUUAACUAUGAGCACUUCAGGUUGUGGUUCAAAAACCAAGCCUAAAAUAAUGUUUUGUUACGACGGUCACUGUUUGCCUAGUAUUUACGGUAAUUCGGUAACUUUUACGUUCAAUUACAUAU